ACCAGCAGCUAUCUCUCUUCAACUCUCACAUGGUUUCCCACUGAAGCUGAGCUGGGCUGAGUGUGGUCAGUGUCUGAAAGGGAGACCGCAUGGGAAUGCAAGGCUGCUGUUGGCA
rnacentral:rRNA from 1 species